rnacentral:rRNA from 1 species
UACGGAGGGGACUAGCGUUGUUCGGAAUUACUGGGCGUAAAGCGCACGUAGGCGGAUUUGUAAGUCAGGGGUGAAAUCCCGGGGCUCAACCUCGGAACUGCCUUUGAUACUGCAAAUCUCGAGUCCGGAAGAGGUGAGUGGAAUUCCUAGUGUAGAGGUGAAAUUCGUAGAUAUCGAGAGGAACACCUGCGGCGAAGGCGGGUUGCUGGGCUGACACUGACGCUGAUUGUGCGAAAGCUAGGGGAGCGAACAGG